GCAAGUCGAGGGGUAACAUUGUGCUUGCACAGAUGACGACCGGCGCACGGGUUCGUAACGCGUAUAGAACCUACCUUUUACAGAGGGAUAGCCUUUAGAAAUGAAGAUUAAUACCUUAUAGUAUUUUAGAUUAGCAUUAAUUUAGAAUUAAAGAUUUAUCGGUAAAAGAUGGCUAUGCGUUCUAUUAGCUAGAUGGAGUGGUAACGGCACCCAAUGGCUACGAGAGAGAGGGGCCAGGAGAGGGGGAGC
rnacentral:rRNA from 1 species